rnacentral:rRNA from 1 species
UACGAAGGGGGCUAGCGUUGCUCGGAAUCACUGGGCGUAAAGGGUGCGUAGGCGGGUCUUUAAGUCAGGGGUGAAAUCCUGGAGCUCAACUCCAGAACUGCCUUUGAUACUGAGAGUCUUGAGUUCGGGAGAGGUGAGUGGAACUGCGAGUGUAGAGGUGAAAUUCGUAGAUAUUCGCAAGAACACCAGUGGCGAAGGCGGCUCACUGGCCCGAUACUGACGCUGAAGCACGAAAGCGUGGGGAGCAAACAGG